rnacentral:rRNA from 1 species
UACGUAGGGGGCAAGCGUUGUCCGGAUUUAUUGGGCGUAAAGAGCGUGUAGGCGGCCAGAUAGGUCCGUUGUGAAAACUCGAGGCUCAACCUCGAGACGCCGAUGGAAACCAUCUGGCUAGAGUCCGGAAGAGGAGAGUGGAAUUCCCGGUGUAGCGGUGAAAUGCGCAGAUAUCAGGAGGAACACCGAUGGCGAAGGCAGCUCACUGGGACGGUACUGACGCUGAGACGCGAAAGCGUGGGGAGCAAACAGG